GACGAACCGUGCGAACGUUAUUCGGAAUCACUGGGCUUAAAGCGCGUGUAGGCGGAAGGGCACGUCGGUCGCGGAAAUCCCCCGGCUCAACCGGGGAACGGGCGCCGAUACGACCUUUCUGGAGGAACGUAGGGGGACCUGGAACUUCCGGUGGAGCGGUGAAAUGCGUUGAGAUCGGAAGGAACACCCGUGGCGAAGGCGGCACUCUGGGACGGUACUGACGCUGAGACGCGAAAGCGUGGGGAGCGAACAGG
rnacentral:rRNA from 1 species